rnacentral:rRNA from 1 species
AUGGCUCAGAACGAACGCUGGUGGCGUGUCUUAUACAUGCAAGUCGAGCGAGGCAGCAAUGCCUAGCGGCGAACGGGUGAGUAACGCGUAAGCAAUCUGCCCCAUAUCAGGAAAUACCCGUGCCAACGCGCGGUUAAUGUCCAGGAGCGUGGCCUUCCGCAUGGGAGGUUGACAAGAGAUUUAUCGGUAUGGGAUGAGCUUGCGUCCGAUUAGCUAGUUGGCGGGGCAACGGCCACCAAGGCGACGAUCGGUAGCCGGCCUGAGAGGGUGAUCGGCCACAUUGGGACUGAGAUACGGCCCAGACUCCUACGGGAGGCAGCAGUAGGGAAUAUUGCACAAUGGGGGAAACCCUGAUGCAGCAACGCCAACCGUGUGGGAAGAAGCAUUUCGGUGUGUAAACCACUGUCGUGAGGGAAUAAGGCGUCUUCUCGGAGACGUUGAAUGUACCUCGAAAGGAAGCACCGGCAAACUUCGUGCCAGCCGCGGC